rfam:TPA: Bos taurus chromosome X, whole genome shotgun sequence.
UCCCUGGUGGCUCAGACGGUAAAGCGUCUGCCUACAAUGCGGGAGAGCCAGGUUCAAUCCCUGGGUCGGGAG